rnacentral:misc_RNA from 1 species
GGAAGGAUCAUUACAAAAUCUUUGUGGGGAGAGAGAUAGUGGGAGGAGGAGGGAGAGAGGGGGGAGAGGGUUGUAUUAUCAUAUAACAAUAUGAUGGUACUAGUCCUCUUCUCCCCUCCUUAUUUCCUCCCCUUCUCUAUAACGUCCCAACUUUUACGCUUGCUGUGUUUGACAGAGUAAUAUUGUGACUAUAAAAUGAGACAACUUUUAACAAUGGAUCUCUUGGCUCUUGCAACGAUGAAGAACGCAGCAAAAUGCGAUACGUAAUGCGAUCUGCAUGAACCUGUGAGUCAUCGAGUCUUUGAACGCAACUUGCGCCCUUCUAGGGCAUGUCUGUUUGAGUACCAUAUUCUCCUUGUCUCCCGUGAAAUAUAGGGAGGCGACUUGUCUGGUCAAUUUUAUGGCCAGAUUAAAGGUAGUUUCAUAUACUAAUGCCUCGUUGGGGCAGGUGGUGUAAGCCGAGCUAGAGGCCUAAUUGGUCUUAUCGGUGAACUCUUACCUCUUUGUGUCCCCUUCGAAUAAGCUUUGGUCUCAAAUCAGGCAAGACUACCCGCUGAACUUAAGCAUAUCAGUAAGCGGAGGAACAGAAACUAACAAGGAUUCCCUCAGUAAUGGCGAAUGAAGCGGGAAUAGCUCAAAUUUAAAAUCUCAGUGGGUAAUAUCACUGCGAAUUGUAGUCUAAAGAAGGUUAUGCAGGCCGUGCAGCGGACCAAGUUCCUUGGGAUAGGACGCCAGAGAGGGUGAGAGCCCCGUCAGUCCGUGUUGCCGAGCCGAGUCAGAGCCUCUCUACGAGUCGAGUUGUUUGGGAAUGCAGCUCAAAGUGGGUGGUAAAUCUCAUCUAAGGCUAAAUAUUGGCAAGAGACCGAUAGCGAACAAGUACCGUGAGGGAAAGAUGAAAAGCACCUUGAAAAGGGAGUUAAAUAGUGCGUGAAAUUGUUAAAAGGGAAGCGAUUGAGAUCAGUGUUGGGCCUAGUUCAAAUCCUUGCUUCGGUGAGGGUAGCGACUAGGUUCCGAGUCAAUGCUGGUUGUGGCCUCGCUGGACAUGCUUCGUGGGAAGGUGGGGUCACUCUUCGGAGUGGCUCUUUAUAGACCGCGAUAGUUGCAGUGACCGCGACCGGGUAAUUAUGGCUGUAACGUGCGAUGCGGAUAAGUAAUAUCUUUGAUGGUAGGACAGCAUGCUGACCUACCUCGGGUGAGCUAACCAAGUCGUCCUUAGCGGCCUGUCUUUGACAAAAUGGUCUUAAACGACCCGUCUUGAAACACGGACCAAGGAGUCUAACAAUGUUGCGAGCAUUAUGGUGGCAAACCAGAGAUGCGCAAUGAAAGUGAAAGCCUGCGAGCUUCGGCGCAGCAGGGACCGGCUUGGUAGUAUCCUACCAGGACCGAGUAAGAGUAGGAUUGUUGGGACCCGAAAGGCGGUGAACUAUGCCUGACUAGGAUGAAGGCGGAGGAAACUCCGCUGGAAGUCCGUAGCCGUUCUGACGUGCAAAUCGAUGGUCAAAGUUGGGUAUAGGGGCGAAAGACUAAUCGAACCGCCUAGUAGCUGGUUCCCUC